UACGUAGGGUGCGAGCGUUGCCCGGAUUUAUUGGGCGUAAAGGGCGCGUAGGCGGCUCUGCACGUCCGUUGUGAAAUCGCCCGGCUCAACUGGGCGGGGUCAGCGGAUACGGCGGAGCUUGAGCAAGCUAGGGGGCAAUGGAAUUCCCGGUGUAGUGGUGGAAUGCGUAGAGAUCCGGGAAGAACACCAGUGGCGAAGGCGGCCCGCUGGGCAGUGGCUGACGCUGAGGCGCGACAGGCGUGGGGAGCAACAGG
rnacentral:rRNA from 1 species